CUCAUCAUCAUCUCAGCCUUACUGAUUUUGUCUCUGUCUUGAACGGUUUGUGUCCAGGGUCUUCUGUCAGUCUCAACAUCGUAACUUUAAAGCACCAUGUCUAACACCGAACGUACCUUCAUUGCCAUCAAGCCUGAUGGUGUCCAGAGGGGGCUUGUGGGAGAUAUCAUUAAGGGCUUUGAGCAGAGGGGCUUGUGGCCAUGAAGAUGAUCCAGGCGUCUGAGGACCUUGUCAAGCAGCACUACAUUGACCUGAAGGCCAUGCCCUUCUAUGGCGGCCUUUGCUCAUUCAUGCAUUCUGGUCCAGUUGUUGCCAUGGUAACUAUCCUCCCCAUGCAUGCACUACGCACAGCCCGUUUCAAAAUGCUGGCUCAUUGCUAGAUUCAUAGUGGCUCACUGCUAAUGCCACCCUGGACACUAUACUUCAGGUUCUCUUGAGCGGUGCUUGCGAUAUAAUUAAUCGUUACUCCUUAUAGUCCAAGGACCUUACAAGUUCUGUUUAAAUGCAAAUUGGCUCUGGAAGCCAAAACAGGCAAAUACUCCAUUUAAACGUGAAUCAAUUCUCAUUUGCGGUACGUUGCUAGAAACAUUGGGUGUAAAGAGGGAAAUGGACACCAUGAAUCCAUGCAAGUCACGUACCACAGCAAGGAAUUUUGACUCCCAAAGUGAACAAUGGUAAACGAAUAAACUGUGGAAAAUGCGAUGAUUAUGCACAAUUCUGUGUCUGGUUUUUCAGAAUGCUCUUCACUCUUGUCAAUUGAUAUUUCUGGUCCUGCAGCAUUUUUAAAUUGCUAUAGGCUACUCUGGAUCCUGUUACAAAAAUUGUUGACACACAAACUUACCUUGUAUCUAUUUUUCUUCUGGGUGCUUUCUUCUGCAAUGGAGUUGAAAGAAUGAAUGAGUCUGUGACUGUCCUACAAAGCUGCUGUCACCACUGCCAAAAAAGGAAAAACAAGACUCG